UUUUAGCCCCGAUAGCAGCGGCAUCCUUUAUCUUUUUUCUUUAAAAAGAUAAAGAUAUAGCGGAGAGCGGGAAAUGGC
rnacentral:sRNA from 1 species